rnacentral:rRNA from 1 species
GGGUGCGAUCAUACCAGCACUAAUGCACCGAAUCCCAUCAGAACUCCGAAGUUAAACUUGCUUGGGCGAGAGUAGUACUAAGAUGGGUGACCUCUUGGGAAGUCCUCGUGUUGCACCCC